rnacentral:rRNA from 1 species
AAUGAACGCUGGCGGCAUGCCUAAUACAUGCAAGUCGAACGAUCACUUCGGUGGUAGUGGCGCACGGGUGCGUAACGCGUGGGAAUCUGCCCUUGGGUUCGGAAUAACAGUUGGAAACGACUGCUAAUACCGGAUGAUGACGUAAGUCCAAAGAUUUAUCGCCCAAGGAUGAGCCCGCGUAGGAUUAGCUAGUUGGUGAGGUAAAGGCUCACCAAGGCUACGAUCCUUAGCUGGUCUGAGAGGAUGAUCAGCCACACUGG